CCUUCUUGAACUGUGGUGCCCAGAACUGGACACAGUACUCCAGGUGAGGUCUGGAGUACUGUGUCCAGUUCUGGGCACCACAGUUCAAGAAGG